rnacentral:rRNA from 1 species
UGGGGAAUUUUGCACAAUGGGCGGAAGCCUGAUGCAGCGACGCCGUGUGGGGGAUGAAGGCCUUCGGGUUGUAAACUCCUUUCGUCAGGGACGAAGUUUGUUUGACGGUACCUGGAUAAGAAGCACCGGCUAACUACGUGCCAGCAGCCGCGGUAAUACGUAGGGUGCGAGCGUUGUCCGGAUUUACUGGGCGUAAAGGGCUCGUAGGUGGUGUGUUGCAUCGUCUGUGUAAUCCAGGGGCUUAACUUUUGGUUGGCAGGCGAUACGGGCAUUGCUUGAGUGCUGUAGGGGAGACUGGAAUUCCUGGUGUAGCGGUGAAAUGCGCAGAUAUCAGGAGGAACACCGAUGGCGAAGGCAGGUCUCUGGGCAGUUACUGACGCUGAGGAGCGAGAGCAUGGGUAGCGAACAGG